rnacentral:rRNA from 1 species
GGAUUAGCUGGUAGGUGGGGUAACGGCUCACCUAGGCGACGAUCCCUAGCUGGUCUGAGAGGAUGACCAGCCACACUGGAACUGAGACACGGUCCAGACUCCUACGGGAGGCAGCAGUGGGGAAUAUUGCACAAUGGGCGCAAGCCUGAUGCAGCCAUGCCGCGUGUGUGAAGAAGGCCUUCGGGUUGUAAAGCACUUUCAGCGGGGAGGAAGGCGGUGAGGUUAAUAACCUCACCGAUUGACGUUACCCGCAGAAGAAGCACCGGCUAACUCCGUGCCAGCAGCCGCGGUAAUACGGAGGGUGCAAGCGUUAAUCGGAAUUACUGGGCGUAAAGCGCACGCAGGCGGUCUG